GUCAGCAUGGCAUAGUGGUUUGAGUACUGGGCUAUGAAUCUGGAGACCAGGGUUCAAAUGCUUGCUCAGCCA